rnacentral:rRNA from 1 species
UGUCUCCUACGGGGGGCAGCAGUAGGGAAUAUUGCUCAAUGGGGGGAACCCUGAUGCAGCGACGCCGCGUGGGUGAAGGAGUGCUUCGGCAUGUAAAGCCCUAUCGGCAGGGAAGAAGCAAGACGGUACCUGACUAAGAAGCCCCGGCUAACUACGUGCCAGCAGCCGCGGGAAUACGUAGGGGGCGAGCGUUAUCCGGAUUCACUGGGGGUAAAGGGAGCGUAGACGGCCAGGCAAGCCCGGGGGGAAAGCCCGGGGCCCAACCCCGGGACUGCCCUUGGGACUGCAUGGACGGAGGGGGGGAG